rnacentral:snoRNA from 1 species
ACUCCCUGGCAAUGGGCAAGGAGACACCUGAUUGGUGAUGUUGCACUUAUAUCAAUCAGGGGCAAAGCAGACUACAGUUCUUAGUUCAUCUUGAACUAAGCUUGAUGCCUGUGUCGGUGGCCAGAGCAGUUUCAUGCCUAAGGCACAUAA